AGUGAUGUAGCCGCCCAGACAUUUUUUUUCCCACCUGGUCAACAACAUGAAUUUUGAGCCCCAAACAGGUUAUUUCUGCUGUCUGUGGUGUCUACUGAGGAUCUAAAGAACCUGUGGAACAUCAGAGACUUUGCAGCUAUUAGAGCUAACCUGUGUACUGCUAACUUGCUACAGAGGAAGCAGCAGAAAGCUGAGCUAACAGGCUGUUUUGCAGGCAAUCCUCGGGUGUCAGCAGGAGGAGGUGACUACCUGCAUUACGGAGCACCCUGGUUCUGAGCCAGUUGCACCUUUGUGCUGCUCUUUGGGGAGGUGAU